rnacentral:rRNA from 1 species
UACAGAGACCUCAAGCGUUAUCCGGAAUCAUUGGGCGUAAAGCGUACCGAUAGGUGGUUUUACAAGUCAGAGGUGAAAUCUCCGAGCUCAACUCGGAAUCUGUCCUUUGAAACUGUACAACUAGAGGGGCAAAGAGGAAGCUGGAACGAACGGUGUAGUAGUGAAAUGCGUUGAUAUCGUUCGGAACACCAAUAGCGUAGGCAGGCUUCUGGGUGCCACCUGACACUGCUAGGACGAAAGCGUGGGGAGCGAAUGGG